rnacentral:tRNA from 1 species
GCCGGUGUAGCUCAGUUGGUAGAGCGUCUGACUGUGGAUCAGAAGGUCUCGGGUUCGAGUCCCGGCGCCGGUA